UACUGAUGGUAAGGGCAUUAGGCAAGUAACAACUUGAGAUGCUCCUAUGUAUCAUGAGUAGGUUCUCCUUCCUUUUGAGAAAAUGUGUAAAUCUUAUUCUUUAUGUU